UUUCUGAUCAGUGAAAAACUCAGGAAUCCUUUAUUCCCCGGAGUGGGGGCUCCUUCUUAAAGCAAAAAUACGUCACAGUUUAAACAUACAGUAUACAUUCACCAAUUGGUUAACAGAGAAAGGGGGCUCUUGUUUAAACCUCCCUACAGAAUGUAGUGUCAUCAUUACAGACUUUUGGAUACACGAUGGGAGGGGGAGUGAGUGGUAUCUAUCAGUUCUAAACCAAUGAUCCUCCAUUUAGCUAUACGUGGCAUAUAGCUGUUUAACUGGCACAAAGGUAGUGGGGGAGGAGUUAGUAAAGGGAGCUGUUAACACAGGAAUUUUGUUUACACAAGGUUUGCUUGAUUUGAAGGGGGAUGCUUAUCAGGAUGAAGAAUUUACAUAGUAAACAGCAACUGAACACAUUGUAGGGGGCGAAGGGAAUAUUUACUCUAGCAGCCAGUUUUAACAUAGUGAACACAGAAUAAAUAGACAUUAGUAAAUAGCCAUUUUAUUUUAAUUCAUCUGUCCAUAACAGUCCCCCCUUAAAAUGGCAAUUUUUACUAAAACUACUAUCUCUCAUUCUAAUACUGUCCCUAUAGAAAAAUAACAAAAGGCUAUCUUGCACAUCUGUCUGAACAGGCCUCGAACACUUCACUGCGCGGGUACCCCAUAGCAGCUUGUCCACUACUUCUCCCGCGGCAGACUUCUGCCCGUAGAGACAGACGCUAUCCCUAAAUGUCCUUAAGAGGAAGUAGCGGUUGAUUUAGUGCGGUGGGACUGUAAGGGUGUAUGUGGUGUAUCACGGUCGAUAUCGUCAAUCUCUUGGUGAAGGAAGGUCGGGGUGGUCUGGUCGAUUGUCUGAUCAACUGUCUUUUGUAGGCAUUUCUUAAGACAGGGUAACACACAACAAACAAGAAGAGCGAGGAUGAUUAUCGUUAUUAAAAUGGCAACACCAAUUUGGGCCAGAGCACCUUGCCAUCCAGUCAUCCAUCCAAACCAUCUUUCCCAUGGAUCUGCGGCCCCAGAAUUUCGUUUCAGCUCAUUGGACAAACUCUUUAACUUUUCUAUUGCCAACGUUACCUUACCAUUAGGGCCUGUAUUGUCUGGAAUAUAGGUACAGCAUGUUAUGGUGUCUGGGAGUAUUUUACAUACUCUCCCUUUUUCUGCCAAAAUCAUUUUAAAGCUUAUUCUAUUCUGGAAGGUCAUCUGAGAGGUAGCUUGUAACCGCCCUAUCCCACCAUAUAUCCCAUAACAAGUAUAGUUCCCAGGAUAUAUAGUAAUGCCUUCGUUUGGGCAUAAUAUUUUUAGUAAUGAUUGGGUAUUAAGUUUCCAUGACUCGCAUGCUGACCGCUUAGGUUUAAAUACAGUGUAGAGACUUAAAACGCAUACUUCAUAUCCGGAGGAAGGUUCAGGGAUACUGUACCUGGGUGAGGCCUCGCUCCUCUGCAGACAUAGCAGUUAGACUUGUUAUGUUUAGUAGCAUUGUAUUUCAUCCAUUCAAGUCACAAGUUAGUGUCAGAGAAACCUGCCUCAAAUAUGGGAUGACUACCAUGUCUUUUAAAGUCCUAAUGUGUGGUUUGAGGGGAUUAACAGUCAUGUGCGUGGCACCUACCCAUUCAGCUGAGUCAUACAUGUCCUGUAAGAAAAAGGUCUCCUGUUUAUUGUAUAAACCUCUUCCCUUCCAAUUCAGAUUUUAUUAGCCGUAAUGCUUGGGAGAAUAGAUUCAAACUUAGUUUCUUACCUUAAAAUCAUUUGGUACCCCCCUUGACACCCCUAUGGCAUUAAUAUACAUAUAUAUGUGUGGGUAAAACCACCCUUUAUAGGGGUACUCCUUUUUGUCCUGAAGCAUGAAUGAGGUGUGUCAAGAGUACCUUGGGGAUUGUCAUGUGUUAUGUGUAUGGACAUAAUAACCUAGGCUAGGGCACAUUUACUUAUUCUUAGAAAUCUUGUCUCAUGCUACCCUAGUACUGGCAGAUUCAGAUCAUUUAAACAUUCAAUAUUAAUAUCACCACAAACUCAAGAUAAGCAGAUGAUCCUGAAGAAGCUUUGACUGUGCGUAUGGCACCUCAGACAUGAGGGCUGCAGGGUAAGGAGUAUGUUUGUUUCUCUUUAGUUUCACGAGGUCCCCUUUUGGGGUAUUCGACUUUCCAUCGAUGGCAGGUGGUCAGGCAUUAUUAUGGCCAUCAAAACACCCACUUGUUGAUAUUUAUUUAUUUAUUUAUUUUCAACAAGUAUCUUUGUUCUCUAAGAAUGGAGUUUCAAAAAGGGUUGUCAAGAUCAACAAAUGCUACUUCACAUAAUGCAGAGGCAGGCUUGAUUCUGGAAUGAUGAAUCCACGGGGUGAUCUCUGUAACUUUCACAGUGCACUACUCAGCAUGUGGUCUUGGUUAUCACUUUGGUGGCUGGAUAGGCCUCUGGCCAUCCUGAAAACAUGUCUGCUAUAAUUAGUGCAUAGUUGAAUCAGCCAUUCUUUGGCAUUCUGGAUGUAGUCGACUUGACUCCUCUGGAAGAGAUAAUGAGGUUUGGCUAGAUGCUUUGGCUCCAUUCUUCCUGAGUUGCCCUUGGCACAAAUGGCACAAGAUUUACAGUAACUGUUGGUCAGAGAGGCAAUUCCUGAUACUUCAGAGUAUUUAUUGAUCAAAAGAGUUCAUGAGGGUUCUGGACAGAUGCUCCGUAGGCCCACUGGACCACUGCUGAGUAUAUGUUCUUGGGCAAGUAGAACUUGAGAUUGUUGAAGUACAGCCUGUCUUUAAGAGUUGCCCCUUUCUGUUUCCAGCUUGUGGUUUGUUUGUUUUUUCUUUCUUUCCAGGGUCAGUAGCUUGAGGUCUGUGGGUAGGAUCUUACAUGGUGAUUAUGGGAGUUUCUUCAGUAGACACUUUUCUGUCCACUUUCCUUAGUGCACUUACAACUUAUUGAACAACUUAGUCAGCCAGAGAGUUGCCACAUGCUUUCUCCGAGAUCAGUCUUCCUUCAGAGAUCUUGCAUGCUGUGAUGGGAGCCUAUAGCUCAACUUCUUGUGCAGACAUUGUUGAGGUGAGAUACCUGGUCCACUGUAGUGACAGCAAAUCCGGAAAAGAUCAUAAGAAAAAUGCUAAAAAAAAAUAAUAGUCAGUGUCUUAUCAUUUCCCCCCUUGGGAAGUGGCAGAAGAGUGGCCAGGUAAAUAGAGUAUCAUCCCUGCAGGGUGACAUUAUCCUGCACAGAAUUCGUCCAUCACAAGGAGAGGUGGGAUAUUGCAUGGAAAGUCUCAGGUAACCAGGGCAACAUUUGACACCAGAGCCUUAACCUGUUAGGGAAUAGUAAGAGCUUGGACAGGCUUUGGGGCCUGUAUAAUUCAGGUAAAGGUAUUGGGGGAACUAGCUAGGACCCUUGCCUCUUGGUCAGGUUUCACUGUGUGGAACAAAAUAAAUAAUAAGGUGAUAGGGGCCUUCAAGUGGGGGAAGGACAUCUGCACCUAGCAGAUUAAUUGGACAGGUGAAAGUAACCACAAAGCAAGGCUUAGUUAACAGGCUACUCCAAAGAGAGCCAUCUACACUUAUGCAGGAGACAACAAUGUUAGACAGGAAUGAGGAGUCAGGCAGGCCUUGCUUGGUACAAAUAGAUGUCAUGUGGCCUGCUAUACAAGGCUGCAUAUAGUUGUUGGGCAUGGGCCUUACUAUGUACUAAAACUUAAGUUAAAAGAAAAUUUGGGACAACCUGAAGUGAUACUUCUCCACAGAUGCUAACUCAUCGUUGAUCACAUUGUUAAUACAGGUAGCCUGAUCAGCCAAUUUAUCUUAGGCUUAAACAAGUCACACCAUGUAGUGGAAUUGGUCAUUAGGAUUCGGGAAAUUCUACAGUAAAAGGGCAUAGUAAGGAUGUACGCGAUGUUACUUUAGGAGUAGGCGUAGCUGUGGAUAGGGGUAAAUCAGCCUUAUCCAUUCCCAUAUAUUAUUCCUUUUGUCUUCAGUAUAUCCAAACCAUGUGUAUGUCCAGGCGUUGCAAUAUACAGUAAUCCAUUAUCAGUCAUGAUAUUAAAAUCUCAUUCUCAUGAAUUAAAUCAAAGAUUUUAAAUCAACCUCAGAAGCAACAAAGAAUAAAUCUAUUGUUUUUUCUUCUGUAAAAUGAUUGGAGUUACUAUAUAAUUGCAUACACCCAACAUAACAUUGCAUGUUCCUCACUGCUACAUUAGUGUAUCUCAUUCUGCCAUAUGUGCAAACUUGAUUUAAAUUUUUAUUUUAAUUAACCUAAUACUUUCUUAUAACACAUAUAAAAACAAUGAAAGACAGUACAGACUAACAAUUCAUUUAAAACAAUAAACUGACAUAGAUCUCUAUUCUUGUGCUGUUCUUAAUUCUGGAAUCAGCUUGUGUACAUCUGUUGGCAGACAUAUCCAUGCUCAUUCCCUAAACUGAUCAUAUCUCUUGAAGUUAUC